rnacentral:lncRNA from 1 species
GUGUAUAACUUGUUCUAAAUUCCUUUGUAAUAGGCCCAAUUUGCCCGGCCCGUAAUAAAAAAAUCAAAUCAAAAUAAAAAAAUUUAAAGUCCAAAAAAAAAUGACGUCAGUCCAAUUACAGCCCAAAAUAAUUUAACCCAUACCCAAUCUAAAUCCCUAAAACAGUGGCCCAAUUACAAUAUGGCCCAAUGACCAAAUAGUUUCUACAAACCCUAGAGACCAAAAC